rnacentral:rRNA from 1 species
GAUGGGCACUGAGACAAGGGCCCAGGCCCUACGGGGCGCAGCAGUCGCGAAAACUUUGCAAUACACGAAAGUGUGACAGGGCUAUCCCGAGUGCCAUCCGCUGAGGAAGGCUUUUACCCAGUAUAGAUCGCUGGGGGAAUAAGGAGAGGGCAAGUCUGGUGUCAGCCGCCGCGGUAAUACCAGCUCUCCGAGUGGUGUGGAUGUUUAUUGGGCCUAAAGCAUCCGUAGCUGGCUAAGUUAGUCCCUUGUUAAAUCCACCGAAUUAAUCGUUGGAUUGCGGGGGAUACUGCUUGGCUAGGGGACGAGAGAGGCAGACGGUAUUUCCGGGGUAGGGGUGAAAUCCUAUAAUCCCGGGAAGACCACCAGUGGCGAAGGCUGUCUGCUAGAACGCGCCCGACGGUGAGGGAUGAAUUGUGGGGGAGGAACAGUGUUAGAUACCCGGGUAGUCCCAUAUAUAAAGAAUGCAGGCUAGGUGUUUGGACGGCCACGUGCCGUUGUAGAUCCGCAGGGAAGCAGUUCAACGUGCCGCCUGGGGAGUACGAUCGCAAGAUUGAACAG